rnacentral:rRNA from 1 species
CCUACGGGUGGCAGCAGUGGGGAAUAUUGCACAAUGGGGGGAACCCUGAUGCAGCGACGCCGCGUGGGUGAAGAAGGCCCUCGGUAUGUAAAGCCCUGUCAGCAGGGAAGAAAAUGACGGUACCUGAUGAAGACUCCCCGGCUAACUACGUGCCAGCCGCCGCGGUAAUACGUAGGGGGCAAUCGUUCUCCGGAUUUACUGGGUGUAAAGGGGGCGCAGACGGCGGUACAAGUCUGGAGUGAAAUGCCGGGGCCUAACCCCGGAACUGCUGUGGAAACUGGGCGGCUGGAGUGCAGGAGAGGCAGGUGGAAUUCCUGGUGUAGCGGUGAAAUGCGUAGAUAUCAGGAGGAACACCGGUGGCGAAGGCGGCCUGCUGGAGUGCAACUGACGUUGAGGCUCGAAAGCGUGGGGAGCAAACAGGAUUAGAUACCCGAGUAGUC